rnacentral:lncRNA from 1 species
AAUUUGAACUGCAGCUGCCUCAUAGUUUGCUAUUUAUUUUUUCCAAAAAUCAUUUCUAGGUACAUAAGUAUCUUUUUAAUCAGAGAAACACCAACAAAAUUCCAAGAUUCCACCACUAGCUAGGAACGGUCAUUCCCACUGUUUUGACCGCAUUUUGAAACUGGCAUAAAAAAUUCAAAAAAAUCAAAAAAUUGGGAAACCUUCGCAUUGUGUCAUCAUAUGUGGCCAAGUUCCUAGGAAAAAUAACAAACUUGUAAUAUGGCAAUUAUUAUAAAAAAGUGUUCUCAGAAACGAGCUAUCAUGUGUGGAGAUCAAUGGCUUUCAAGCCAAAUGAUCAAUCUUAUGGCCACAUUCAUGGCAUAGUUUGUUCAAAUGAUCUCAUAUUGUGCACAAGAGUGCAUAUUGGAAUGGCAAACAAUGUUGUCUAAGGAAGUUUUCAUUUUCGUUGGACGAAAAAACCAUUUUCCAUUUUUCGAGUGCCCGAAAGGAGGUUUUUUUGUGAAGGAACUACCAAAUAAUUGUUGCAAAAUUGGACCAAAUAAUUUUUAUAAAAUAUUAGGCCAUAUUUAAUGCACAAAUGACAAAAUGGUUGGGCGUAAAAUAUUUUGAUCCACCUCUCGUGAAAAAGACAAAUUUCCGCCGAUUCAGCUGGAAGCGGGUCAAAUUUGAACUACAGCUGCCUUAUAGUUUGCCAUUUAUUUUUUCCAAAAAUCAUUUCUAGUUACAUAAGGACCUAUUUAAUCAGAGAAACACCAACAAAAUUCCAAGAUUCAACCACUAGCUAGGAAUGGUCAUUCCCGCCGUUUUGACCGCAUUUUGAAACGGGCAUAAAAAAUUCAAAAAAAAUCAAAAAAUUGGGAAACCUUCGCAUUGUGUCAUCAUAUGUGGCCAAGUUCCUUGGAAAAAUAACAAACUUGUAAUACGACAAUUAUUAUAAAAAAAGUGUUCUCAGAAACGAGCUAUC